AUGUAUGUUCCUGGGAAGGACUUGUCCCAGUAGGCUCUGCCCCUCUGCCACAGCAUCCCCACCUGGCUUAAGAUGAUGUCUGAUGACACAAAAGAGCAGAUCUACAAACUGGCCAAUAAGAGCCCGACUCCCUCACAAAUUGAUGUGGUCCUGAGAAACUCACAUGGCACUGCACAAGUAUGUUUUGUGAGAGGCAAUAAAAUCUUGAGAAUUCUUAAGUACAAAGGACUCAAAGUCUUAAGUCUUACUUAAUAAAGCUGUUGCAGUUUGAAAGCAUCUUGAGAAGAACAGAAAGGAUAAGGAUGCUAAAUUCCAUCUGAUUCUGAUUGAGAGCCACAUUUACCAGCUGGCUAGAUAUAAGAUUAGACGAGUGCUCUCCCUCAAUUGGAAAUGUGAGUCAUCCACAGCCUCUCCCUGGUUUCAUAAAUUUAUCUAUGUACUCAAGCAAUAAACCAUUGUUUAACUAGAACAAUAGAGAAUCACAGCCCUGGGCUGUCUUUGCCUGACUGCUCCUGCUGUCUCUUCCUUCCCACUAGCUCCAUAGAUGGUGCUUUCUUUUCCUGUCCAGCCCAUGCCAGGAAGCAUCAGUGCUCCAUCUUCCACCACUGUCAUCAGGACACAAGAGAAAGCCUUGGUUCAUACCUCUACAUGGAUGAGUCAAAACCUAGACUUCAAGUGCAACUUCUCUGAGCACCAGACAGACACUCUCUACAGCCUGGGGAAUUUCUCAGCUCUAGGCCCAUGCAGGACACGGCAGAGCAGAAGUUCUACUUCAGCGAUAUCAGGUCUGGGAAGAAACUGCGUUUCACAGGCCUUUGUAAGACAUGUUCCCGGUAGGCUGUAAAACAGCAGUGCAGAGCAAGCUGUUUCUCAGCUGCCCAAAGAGCUGGAAGCCGGACGCUGCGGGGCCUCUCUGCCCUUGAGGACACGAGGCUGGACUUUCUCCCUUUGAGCUCUAGGCCCAUGUAGGACAUGGCAGAGCUGAACUUCUACUUCAGUGAGAUCAGGCCUGGGAAGAAACUGCGUUUCACAGGCCUUUGUAAACAUGUUCCUGGUAGCCUUGUAGGAGCCCUGUCCAGAGCGAGUUGUUUCUCAGCUGCCCAAAGAGCUGGAAACCGGACCUGAGGGACUUGCCUCCCCUUGUGGAAACAAGGCAGGACUUUGUGAAUUGCAGCUCUAGGGGCAAAUAGGACACGGCAGAGCAGAUAUUCUACUUCAGCGAGAUUAGGCCUGGGAAGAAACUGCGUUUCACAGGCCUUUGUCAGACAUGCUCCCGGUAGGCUUGUAAAAGCCCUGUGCAGAGUGAGCUAUUUCUUAGCUUCCCAAACAGCUGGAAGCCGGACGCUGUGGGACCAGUCUGCCCUUGAGGGCUAAAGGCAGAACUUUGUCCCUUUCAGCUCUAGGCCCAUGCAGGACACGGCAGAGCAGAAUUUCUACUUCACCGAGAUCAGGUCUGAGAAGAAACUGCGUUUCACAGGCCUUUGUAAGACAUGUUCCCGGUAGGCUGUAAAACAGCAGUGCAGAGCAAGCUGUUUCUCAGCUGCCCAAAGAGCUGGAAGCUGGACGCUGUGGGGCCUGUCUGCCCUUGAAGUCACAACGGAUUAGUUUGUCCCUUCAGCUCUAGGCCCAUGUAGGACACGGCAGAGCAGAAGUUCUACUUCACCGAGAUCAGGCCUGGCAAGAAACUGCGUUUCACAGGCCUUUGUAAGACAUGUUCCCUGUAGGCUUUAAGAGCCCUGUGCAGAGCGAGUUGUUUCUUAGCCUGCCAAAGAGCUGGAAGCCGGACGCUGUGGGACCAGUCUGCCCUUGAGGACACAAGACAGGACUUUGUCCCUUUCAGCUCU
rnacentral:lncRNA from 1 species